rnacentral:rRNA from 1 species
UGGGGAAUCUUCCGCAAUGGGCGAAAGCCUGACGGAGCAACGCCGCGUGAGUGAAGACGGCCUUCGGGUUGUAAAACUCUGUGAUUCGGGACGAAAGAUAAGCAGACGAAUAAUCUGCAUAAGUGACGGUACCGAAAAAGCAAGCCACGGCUAACUACGUGCCAGCAGCCGCGGUAAUACGUAGGUGGCAAGCGUUGUCCGGAAUUAUUGGGCGUAAAGCGCGCGCAGGCGGCUACUUAAGUCCAUCUUAAAAGUGCGGGGCUUAACCCCGUGAUGGGAUGGAAACUGAGAAGCUGGAGUGUCGGGGAGGAAAGUGGAAUUCCUAGUGUAGCAGUGAAAUGCGUAGAGAUUAGGAAGAACACCGGUGGCGAAGGCGACUUUCUGGACGACAACUGACGCUUAGGCGCGAAAGCGUGGGGAGCGAACAGG